rnacentral:rRNA from 1 species
UAAUGUCUGGGAAACUGCCUGAUGGAGGGGGAUAACUACUGGAAACGGUAGCUAAUACCGCAUAACGUCGCAAGACCAAUGUGGGGGACCUUCGGGCCUCAUGCCAUCAGAUGUGCCCAGAUGGGAUUAGCUAGUAGGUGGGGUAACGGCUCACCUAGGCGACGAUCCCUAGCUGGUCUGAGAGGAUGACCAGCCACACUGGAACUGAGACACGGUCCAG